UACGAAGGGGGCGAGCGUUGUUCGGAUUUACUGGGCGUAAAGGGCGCGCAGGCGGCGAGUUUUGUCAGGCGUGAAAGCCCCGGGCUCAACCUGGGAAUUGCGCUUGAAACGGGCUUGCUAGAGAUCGGGAGAGGAGGGUGGAAUUCCCAGUGUAGAGGUGAAAUUCGUAGAUAUUGGGAAGAACACCGGUGGCGAAGGCGGCUCUCUGGACCGAUACUGACGCUGAGGCGCGAAAGCGUGGGGAGCAAACAGG
rnacentral:rRNA from 1 species